AUCACCUUAGAUCAGUAUGGAAGAUUGUGAGGCCCAUAACCUUAAGGUCGCUGGAUCGAGACCAGCAGGUGAUA